UGGGGUCUGUAUGGGGUCUGUGGGGUCUGUAUGGGGUCUGUAUGGGAUCUCUGUGUCCCUAUGGGGUCUGUAUGGGAUCUGUGUGACCCUAUGGGGUCUGUAUGGGAUCUGGGGGUCUCUGUUUCUCCCUAUGGGGUCUGUAGGGUCAGUAUGGGAUCUGUGUGACCCUAUGGGGUCUGUAUGGGAUCUGGGGGUCUCUGUGUGUCCCUAUGGGGUCUGUGGGGUCUGUAUGGGAUCUGUGGGGUCUGUAUGGGGUCUGUGUGACCCUAUGGGGUCUGUAUGGGGUCUGUGGGGUCUGUAUGGGGUCUGUGUGACCCUAUGGGGUCUGUAUGGGGUCUGUGUGACCCUAUGGGGUCUGUAUGGGAUCUGGGGGUCUCUGUGUGUCUCUAUGGGGUCUCUGGGGUCUGUAUGGGAUCUGUGGGUCUCUAUAGGGUCUCUAUGUCUUCUUAUGGGUCCCAGUGGUGUCUCUAUGUGUCUUUGUGGAAUCUCUGUGUCCCUAUGA
rnacentral:lncRNA from 1 species